CUUUCUUUGCUGGCGACCGGCGCACGGGUGAGUAACACGUAUCCAACCUGCCCUUUACUCGGGGAUAGCCUUUCGAAAGAAAGAUUAAUACCCGAUAGCAUAAUGAUUCCGCAUGGUUUCAUUAUUAAAGGAUUCCGGUAAAGGAUGGGGAUGCGUACCAUUAGGUUGUUGGUGAGGUAACGGCUCACCAAGCCUUCGAUGGAUAGGGGUUCUGAGAGGAAGGUCCCCCACAUUGGAACUGAGACACGGUCCAA
rnacentral:rRNA from 1 species